rnacentral:rRNA from 1 species
GGGCGAAAGCCUGAUGCCAGCAAUGCCGCGUGAGUGAAGAAGGCCUUCGGGUUGUAAAGCUCUUUUGUCAGGGAAGAAACGGUGAGGGCUAAUAUCUCUUGCUAAUGACGGUACCUGAAGAAUAAGCACCGGCUAACUAUGUGCCAGCAGCCGCGGUAAUACGUAGGGUGCAAGCGUUAAUCGGAAUUACUGGGCGUAAAGCGUGCGCAGGCGGUUAUGUAAGUCAGAGGUGAAAUCCCGGGGCUCAACCCCGGAACUGCCUUUGAUACUGGUAGUCUUGAGUUCGAGAGAGGUAAGUGGAAUUCCGAGUGUAGAGGUGAAAUUCGUAGAUAUUCGGAGGAACACCAGUGGCGAAGGCGGCUUACUGGCUCGAUACUGACGCUGAGGUGCGAAAGUGUGGGGAGCAAACAGGAUUAGAUACCCUGGUAGUCCACACCGUAAACGAUGAAUGCCAGUCGUCGGGUAGCAUGCUAUUCGGUGACACACCUAACGGAUUAAGCAUUCCGCCUGGGGAGUACGGUCGCAAGAUUAAAACUCAAAUGAAUUGACGG